CCCAGGUUAAAGUGCAUUAUUCAAAAUUUAUAAAUGGUGAAGCUGUUGUAAGAAAUGUGAAAGUUGCUCAGGAUUUUGGGUAUGUUGUAGAUAUAUAUCAAGUGUUGUGCUCUGCACUCAUUGAUGAGGAAACAUUGAGAAAAGCCAAAGCUGAAGUAUCACCUGUCCAAGAAAAAAUCACUGAUCAGAGAAAUGAGAGAGCAGCACCUCGAUGCACUGUGUGCAAGAAUUGGAUGAAAGGCCAUAAAAAUAUAAUGAACUGUCCAAAAAACCAAAAGUAACCACUUUUUUAGGAGCUGGUGGUAUGAGCCCAGUUAGUUGGGAUUCAGUGAAGUGUGAAAUGACUGCAUGGAAAGAAUAAAGAGAAAGGAAUUGUAAUUUUGUAUGUUUUGUAUAACAAGAAUGAGUGUGAAUUGAAGAUGCAAUACAUCAAGAGUGGCUUAAAUCAUUCCACACUUCACUGGAUCCCUACUAGCUUGGCUCAUGCACACAACACCUAGAAUAAUAUAUAAUGUUAUGUUAUUUUACAAAUUGUCCUCUUCAUACCCUGCAAAGUGUUCAUUUUUUUUAAAUUAAAAGUUGUUCGAAUAACAUGAUAAGCACAA